UACGAAGGGGGCUAGCGUUGUUCGGAAUUACUGGGCGUAAAGGGCGUGUAGGCGGUGUGUCAAGUCAGGCGUGAAAGCCCCGGGCUCAACCUGGGAACUGCAUUUGAUACGUGUGGGCUUGAGUGGGGAAGAGGGUCGUGGAAUUCCCAGUGUAGAGGUGAAAUUCGUAGAUAUUGGGAAGAACACCGGUGGCGAAGGCGGCGACCUGGUCCUUGACUGACGCUGAGGCGCGAAAGCGUGGGGAGCAAACAGG
rnacentral:rRNA from 1 species